CCCUUAGAUGUUCGGGGCCGCACGCGCGCUACACUGAAGGAAUCAGCACGUCUUUCUCCUUGUCCGAAAGGACUGGGUAACCCGCUGAACCUCCUUCGUGCUAGGGAUUGGGGCUUGUAAUUCUUCCCCAUGAACGAGGAAUUCCCAGUAAGCGCGAGUCAUAAGCUCGCGUUGAUUACGUCCCUGCCCUUUGUGCACACCGCCCGUCGCUACUACCGAUUGGAUGGUUUAGUGAGAUCCUCGGAUUGGUCCCGGAGCGGCCUCUGGUCGUGCCGGAGUGCCGAAAAGAAUGUCGAACUUGAUCAUCUAGAGGAAGUAAAAGUCGUAACA
rnacentral:rRNA from 1 species